GAGAACACAAACACACAGAACAACAGUUCCCCUCCUGUAAGAGAGACACAGCAGAGGACAGAAACAAUCCUCCUCCUUUCUAACUCUUUCCUUCGCUCUCUCUUGUUGUACUGUGAAACCUUUGUUUCCAGAUUAGCUUUAGCUAGGUGUUGGCUUGUGUUUACUAAUGGAUUGGAGGUCUGUAGUAUUAAUCUGUUAGUUAUAGAACUGGAGGUCUGUAGUAUUACUAUGUUAGUUAUAGAACUGGAGGUCUGUAGUAUUACUAUGUUAGUUAUAGAACUGGAGGUCUGUAGUAUUACUAUGUUAGUUAUAGAACUGGAGGUCUGUAGUAUUACUAUGUUAGUUAUAGAACUGGAGGUCUGUAGUAUUACUAUGUUAGUUAUAGAACUGGAGGUCUGUAGUAUUACUAUGUUAGUUAUAGAACUGGAGGUCUGUAGUAUUACUAUGUUAUAGAACCGGAGGUCUGUAGUAUUACUCUGUUAUAGAACUGGAGGUCUGUAGUAUUACUAUGUUAUAGAACCGGAGAUCUGUAGUAUUACUCUGUUAUAGAACCGGAGGUCUGUAGUAUUACUAUGUUAUAGAACCGGAGGUCUGUAGUAUUACUCUGUUAUAGAACUGGAGGUCUGUAGCAUUACUCUGUUAGUUAUAGAACUGGAGGUCUGUAGUAUUACUAUGUUAGUUAUAGAACUGGAGGUCUGUAGUAUUACUAUGUUAGUUAUAGAACUGGAGGUCUGUAGUAUUACUAUGUUAGUUAUAGAACUGGAGGUCUGUAGUAUUACUAUGUUAGUUAUAGAACUGGAGGUCUGUAGUAUUACUAUGUUAGUUAUAGAACUGGAGGUCUGUAGUAUUACUAUGUUAGUUAUAGAACUGGAGGUCUGUAGUAUUACUAUGUUAGUUAUAGAACUGGAGGUCUGUAGUAUUACUCUGUUAUAGAACCGGAGAUCUGUAGUAUUACUCUGUUAUAGAACUGGAGGUAUGUAGUAUUACUAUGUUAUAGAACCGGAGGUCUGUAGUAUUACUCUGUUAUAGAACUGGAGGUCUGUAGUAUUACUAUGUUAUAGAACCGGAGAUCUGUAGUAUUACCCUGUUAUAGAACUGGAGGUCUGUAGUAUUACUAUGUUAUAGAACCGGAGGUCUGUAGUAUUACUCUGUUAUAGAACUGGAGGUCUGUAGUAUUACUAUGUUAGUUAUAGAACUGGAGGUAUGUAGCAUUACUCUGUUAGUUAUAGAACUGGAGGUCUGUAGUAUUACUAUGUUAGUUAUAGAACUGGAGGUCUGUAGUAUUACUAUGUUAGUUAUAGAACUUGGAGGUCUGUAGUAUUACUAUGUUAGUUAUAGAACUGGAGGUCUGUAGUAUUACUAUGUUAGUUAUAGAACUUGGAGGUCUGUAGUAUUACUAUGUUAGUUAUAGAACUGGAGGUCUGUAGUAUUACUAUGUUAGUUAUAGAACUUGGAGGUCUGUAGUAUUACUAUGUUAGUUAUAGAACUGGAGGUCUGUAGUAUUACUCUGUUAUAGAACUGGAGGUCUGUAGUAUUACUAUGUUAGUUAUAGAACUGGAGGUCUGUAGUAUUACUCUGUUAUAGAACUGGAGGUCUGUAGUAUUACUAUGUUAGUUAUAGAACUUGGAGGUCUGUAGUAUUACUAUGUUAGUUAUAGAACUGGAGGUCUGUAGUAUUACUAUGUUAGUUAUAGAACUGGAGGUCUGUAGUAUUACUAUGUUAGUUAUAGAACUGGAGGUCUGUAGUAUUACUAUGUUAGUUAUAGAACUGGAGGUCUGUAGUAUUACUAUGUUAGUUAUAGAACUGGAGGUCUGUAGUAUUACUCUGUUAUAGAACUGGAGGUCUGUAGUAUUACUAUGUUAGUUAUAGAACUGGAGGUCUGUAGUAUUACUAUGUUAGUUAUAGAACUGGAGGUCUGUAGUAUUACUAUGUUAGUUAUAGAACUGGAGGUCUGUAGUAUUACUAUGUUAGUUAUAGAACUGGAGGUCUGUAGUAUUACUCUGUUAUAGAACUGGAGGUCUGUAGCAUUACUCUGUUAUAGAACUGGAGGUCUGUAGCAUUACUCUGUUAUAGAACUGGAGGUCUGUAGUAUUACUCUGUUAUAGAACUGGAGGUCUGUAGUAUUACUCUGUUAUAGAACUGGAGGUCUGUAGCAUUACUCUGUUAUAGAACUGGAGGUCUGUAGCAUUACUCUGUUAUAGAACUGGAGGUCUGUAGCAUUACUCUGUUAUAGAACUGGAGGUCUGUAGUAUUACUCUGUUAUAGAACUGGAGGUCUGUAGUAUUACUCUGUUAUAGAACUGGAGGUCUGUAGCAUUACUCUGUUAUAGAACUGGAGGUCUGUAGCAUUACUCUGUUAUAGAACUGGAGGUCUGUAGUAUUACUAUGUUAGUUAUAGAACUAGAGGUAUGUAGUAUUACUCUGUUAUAGAACUGGAGGUCUGUAGCAUUACUCUGUUAUAGAACUGGAGGUCUGUAGCAUUACUCUGUUAUAGAACUGGAGGUCUGUAGUAUUACUAUGUUAGUUAUAGAACUGGAGGUCUGUAGUAUUACUAUGUUAGUUAUAGAACUGGAGGUCUGUAGUAUUACUAUGUUAGUUAUAGAACUGGAGGUCUGUAGUAUUACUAUGUUAGUUAUAGAACUGGAGGUCUGUAGUAUUACUCUGUUAUAGAACUGGAGGUCUGUAGUAUUACUAUGUUAGUUAUAGAACUGGAGGUCUGUAGUAUUACUAUGUUAGUUAUAGAACUGGAGGUCUGUAGUAUUACUAUGUUAGUUAUAGAACUGGAGGUCUGUAGUAUUACUAUGUUAGUUAUAGAACUGGAGGUCUGUAGUAUUACUCUGUUAUAGAACUGGAGGUCUGUAGUAUUACUCUGUUAUAGAACUGGAGGUCUGUAGUAUUACUAUGUUAGUUAUAGAACUGGAGGUCUGUAGUAUUACUCUGUUAGUUAUAGAAC